rnacentral:misc_RNA from 1 species
AAGUCGUAACAAGGUUUCCGUAGGUGAACCUGCGGAAGGAUCAUUACCAAAACUUUAGGUUUAUUCCCCCUUCACAGGGGGUUGAGCCCUACCCUUUGUCUACAUGUACCUCUUGUUGUUUCCUCGGGGGGCUUUAUGCUCCCCGGUAGGAACCCCUUAAACCCUUUAUAUAAUAGUAUUAAAUCUCUGAUAACUACCUAAAUAAUCACAACUUUCAACAAUGGAUCUCUUGGUUCUG